rnacentral:rRNA from 1 species
AUUGAACGCUGGCGGCAGGCCUAACACAUGCAAGUCGAGCGGAUGAAGGGAGCUUGCUCCUGGAUUCAGCGGCGGACGGGUGAGUAAUGCCUAGGAAUCUGCCUGGUAGUUGGGGAUAACGUCCGGAAACGGGCGCUAAUACCGCAUACGUCCUGAGGGAGAAAGUGGGGGAUCUUCGGACCUCACGCUAUCAGAUGAUCCUAGGUCGGAUUAGCUAGUUGGUGGGGUAAAGGCCUACCAAGGCGACGAUCCGUAACUGGUCUGAGAGGAUGAUCAGUCACACUGGAACUGAGACACGGUCCAGACUCCUACGGGAGGCAGCAGUGGGGAAUAUUGGACAAUGGGCGAAAGCCUGAUCCAGCCAUGCCGCGUGUGUGAAGAAGGUCUUCGGAUUGUAAAGCACUUUAAGUGGGGAGGAAGGGCAGUAAGUUAAUACCUUGCUGUUUUGACGUUACCAACAGAAUAAGCACCGGCUAACUUCGUG